GACGAACGCUGGCGGCGUGCUUAACACAUGCAAGUCGAACGGAAAGGCCAUGCAUUUGAGGGGUGCCAGAGUGGCGAUUGGGUGUGUAACACGAGAGUAACCUGCCCUUGACUCUAGGAAAACCUUAGGAAACUGGGGCCAAUACCGGACAGGAGCAAUAGCAGCAAGCAUGGGGUCGGAAAGUUUCGGUGGAUGGGGAUGGACUCGCGGCAUAUCAGCUUGCUGGUGGGGUAGUGCCUUAGCAAAGCUUUGGCGGGUCGCUGGCCUGGGAGGGUGACCGGCCAGGUUGGGACGGAGAUGCGACCCGGACUCCGACGGGAGGCGGCAGAGGGGAAUGGUGCACAAUGGGCGGAAGCCAGAUGCAGCAACGCCGCGUGCGGGGAGACGGCCAUCGAGUUGUAAACCACUUUCGCCUGUGACGAGACGAAAAUGACGGUAAUGUAUAAGAAAGCACCGGCUAAAUACGUG
rnacentral:rRNA from 1 species